rnacentral:rRNA from 1 species
UGGUUAAUUUCGAUAACGAACGAGACCUUAGCCUGCUAAAUAGGAUCGGGAACCUCGGUUCUCGCAUCACUUCUUAGAGGGACUUUGCGUGUCUAACGCAAGGAAGUUUGAGGCAAUAACAGGUCUGUGAUGCCCUUAGAUGUUCUGGGCUGCACGCGCGCUACACUGAUGCAUGCAACGAGUUUUUGACCUUGGCCGGAAGGUCUAGGUAAUCUUUUGAGUAUGCAUCGUGAUGGGGAUAGAUUAUUGCAAUUAUUAAUCUUCAACGAGGAAUGCCUAGUAGGCGCAAGUCAGCAGCUUGUGCCGAUUACGUCCCUGCCCUUUGUACACACCGCCCGUCGCUGCAACCGAUCGAAGGGUCCUGUGAACUCGAUGGACAGCCCAUCCCCUUCUUGGGGUUGGGCUGGAAGUUGCGUAAAUAGAGCCCUUUAAAGGAUGCAAAAGUCGUAGCACGGUUUCCGUAGGUGAACCUGCGGAA